AUUGAACGCUGGCGGAAUGCUUUACACAUGCAAGUCGAACGGCAGCACGGGGGCAGCCCUGGUGGCGAGUGGCGAACGGGUGAGUAAUACAUCGGAACGUGCCCGGUCGUGGGGGAUAACGUAGCGAAAGUUACGCUAAUACCGCAUACGAUCUGAGGAUGAAAGCGGGGGACCUUCGGGCCUCGCGCGAUCGGAGCGGCCGAUGUCCGAUUAGGUAGUUGGUGGGGUAAAGGCCUACCAAGCCGACAAUCUGUAGCUGGUCUGAGAGGACGACCAGCCACACUGGGACUGAGACACGGCCCAGACUCCUACGGGAGGCAGCAGUGGGGAAUUUUGGACAAUGGGCGCAAGCCUGAUCCAGCCAUUCCGCGUGCAGGACGAAGGCCUUCGGGUUGUAAACUGCUUUUGUACGGAACGAAAAGGCUCUGGCUAAUACCUGGGGCUCAUGACGGUACCGUAAGAAUAAGCACCGGCUAACUACGUG
rnacentral:rRNA from 1 species